CGUCAAUGUAAGGCUGGUUGAAGUUGCCUCCCCUCCCGUAUAUAAUGUGCACAUGCAAGCAUCUUAUCAUCCGUGAAGGAAGGGUCUGUAUCCAUUACCUACCACUUUCACCUGCGCGCGUCAAUCAAGCCGUUUUCCUGACACAACACUUCACCCUGGUUGGCUGUUCUGUUUGAGGGAGGUGACGCAAACGGCCAUAUUGACAUCCCAUUGGAAAAGACAGUGUGAGGCAUUGGAGUGACGCAGCUUGGAAUUCCCACAUUUUCCGACGUUCACGACAGGAAAGCUGUCUGUAAAACAAUACCAGGACAUAUUCGAGCUAAAACGGUGAAAUUGAAUUGAAGUCCGCAGGAAUAAGUUGUAGUUGCUGUGCUGAGCGUCAAGGGGGCAAUGUCUGACAGCAGCAGCACAGGCAGCAGCCGCAGUGGAUCCUCAACCAACAGUUGGACCAUGCUGUCCCCAGAGAGAAGACACCUUCAACACCUACUUGAAGGCACCGGACCAGGUGAACAGCCAUCGGAGGAAAGCCAACUACCACCGGAACAAGUAAGUAGCUAGUUAUAUUUUUUUUAAAUCCAGGAGAAAAAAAAUCCUAUUUGAUGAACUAUUCGAUAAUUGCAGCUAUAAUUGCUAAAGCUGGAUUCAUGUGAAAAGAAUCAAUGAUAAAUGGGUGCAAAACACUUAAAGCUCUUGGUGACACUAAAUACAAUUUCAAAUAAUAAUCUCUUUGAUAUGUGGUACACAGGACAACAUUCAUCCCGAUCAGCUUCUAGCUAUCUCCAAACACCUGACUUGGAUGAAGGGCAAAGGGGCAUUGACCAACUUGGAGCUGUCAGUGCAACAACACAUGCCACUGCUUUUGUGAUAAAUGCCAGAGCCAAGCAUUGUCUCACAGAAAGGCGUGAAUUACAUUGUUGCUGGGGUAAAGCAGUAUCAAUCAUCACUAUUGGACAACCUCAGGAAGCAGGUGGAGGGAGUGCUAAAGUAGAGGUUGACCGAUUUAAUUAGGGCCGAUUAAGUUUUCAUAACAAUCGGUAUUUGAGCUCCGAUUUUUAAAUGUUUUUAUAUAUAUGUAUAUGUGUGUAAAAAAAUGGAACUAGACAAAUCCACCACAUCUCCCAGCUUGUGAGAUUGUGCCCUUGUUAACACACAAGCAGGAAAAACAUAGGGAAAUGCUUGAACCAAUUUAUCGUCUACUACCUAACACAGGAGUGACGUUACCACCAGCGAUAUCGUUCCCUAGUAGCAAUGUGGGAACGCAACACCCUGCUACACUUAGCUCCCUGUGGAGUGAAAGUAGUAUGGGAUUGCGGGUAAGGAUGGCAAAGAACUUUACUGUUACCAGGGAAUGUAUUUCCUUCACACGGUAAUUUGGGAAAAGGGGCUGGAUGGAACCAAAGCAAAGAAAGUAAAUGUUAGUCCUCUACCUUACCUGCCUAGCCACUACUUACCUAACCUUAACGCCACCUGGCGCGCUAACCAAAAUACAGAUGGUGGUCCGCCCAGGUCUUACCUAAUGUGCAUAGACAGAGUACACACUACGGGUAUAUGUAUGCCCGCAGGCUUCUUGCCGAAGCACACCCAAGGUGCCCCUUCCCCCCCUGGGAACAAAUGAAAUAAUUACAAACUUUUUAAAGUGAACAAUUUCAAUAAUCACAAACNNNNNNNNNNUUAAUUUAGUAAGAGUAACUGGUGUGUGUGUAAAAAUACUGUUUGCACACUUCAUAUGUACAUUUAAAUACAAUGCAGUUUAAAUUGGAUCAUUAGCAAUAGGAGAGGCGCUGUGAUACGAUAUGUUUUUAAAGCUAAACUUGCUUUUUGCCUGAGCAACCUCGUGCCAGACCAUUCUGAUGACAUGGCUCUACACAUAACUAAGCGAUGCAUUAAAUCUGUUUUUGGCAUGGGUACUGUAAAGAAACCCAUAGUGGCGUGUCUGAAGUAUAUGCAAAUAGAUUAUACACGUGAGAAUACAAAAAAAGGAUCCGUCUGUUUUUAAAAUGGCCACUCCCUCUAUCGCGAUUCNNNNNNNNNNCCCCCCCAAAAUACAAAUAAUACUUUUGUUUCAUAGUAGGACAUAAGACUGCAAUAACACCAGGAAAUCAGCGCCAAGUGAUUUUCAUUUAAGAAAUCUGUUCAAGUAUUCCCACGCAUAAGUGAUUGUAUACAAAUAAGAAAGGUUUGAAAUGAUUGUUUUAUGCAAACAUUAUACUGUAUCUGUUUGGCCUUCUUGCAGUCAAUUUGCAGUCUACAAAUUAUUUGUAAUUGUGUUCCGGCCCCCUGACCAUCCACUCACAAGAAUAAAUCGGCCCGCGGCUGAAUCUAGUUGAUCNNNNNNNNNNAAAGGCCUGAAAACUAGGACAUUUCUUUACACUGAGAGAGAGGUGUUGCAGCAUUUAUCCAAUAAACCCUUUUUACAUAGCAUUAUCAAGCCAAUUAGGAAAGAAUAUCAACGGAACUUGUAAGGACUUCAGAAGCCAAUUUUGGUGUAUAAUUUGAAAUAAAUCCCUUUUCUGCAUGUGCAUUUGGAAAGUAUUCAGACCCCCUUCACUUUCACAUGUUACUUUACAGCCUUAUUCCAAAAUUGACUUAAAUCUGGGUUGUCUCCUCAAUCUACAUGCAUUACCCCAUUAUGACACAGUAAAAACAGGUUUAGAAAUUUUUACAUACAUUAAAAAUAACACUGAAAUAUCACAAGUAUUCAGACCCUUUACUCAGUACUUUGAAGCACCUUCAGCNNNNNNNNNNACUUAAAUCUGGGUUGUCUCCUCAAUCUACAUGCAUUACCCCAUUAUGACACAGUAAAAACAGGUUUAGAAAUUUUUACAUACAUUAAAAAUAACACUGAAAUAUCACAAGUAUUCAGACCCUUUACUCAGUACUUUGAAGCACCUUCAGCAGCGAUUACAACCCGAGUCUACUUGGGUAUGACACUACAAGCCUGGCACACCUGUAUUUGGGAGAGUUUCUCCCAUUCUUCUCUGCAGAUCCUAUCAAGCUCUGUCAGGUUGGAUGGGAAGGGUUGCUGCACAGCUAUUUUCAGNNNNNNNNNNGAGCAGGUUUUCAUCAAGGAUCUCUCUAUACUUUGCUCUGUUCAUCUUUCCCUCGAUACUGACUGGUCUCCCUGUCGCUGAAAAACAUCCCCACAGCAUGAUACUGCCACCACGCUUCACCAUAGGGAUGGUGCCAGGUUUCUUCCAGAUGUGAUGCUAAGGAAUUCAGGCCAAAGAGUUAAAUCAACUGGACUGGAGCCAAGCACCAAACAUUUUCCUGCACACUAGCUUGCUACUUUCUGUAGGUCUACACGUUACCGUCCUCUGAUGAUCCUUCAUAAUUUAACUUGAAUGUUAUUUGUGGGAAUACGUUCAUCUUUGCGGUGCGAAGUUU
rnacentral:lncRNA from 13 species